UACAGGGGGGGCAAGCGUUGUUCGGAAUUACUGGGCGUAAAGGGCUCGUAGGCGGCCAACUAAGUCACACGUGAAAUCCCCAGGCUUAACCUGGGAACUGCGUGUGAUACUGGAUGGCUUGAAUUCGGGAGAGGGAUGCAGAAUUCCAGGUGUAGCGGUGAAAUGCGUAGAUAUCUGGAGGAAUACCGGUGGCGAAGGCGGGUCUCUGGGCAGUAACUGACGCUGAGGAGCGAAAGCGUGGGGAGCGAACAGG
rnacentral:rRNA from 1 species